CUGUAUCCACUGAUGGACCUUGACCAAUUUGUUGUACUUUUGGUUUGCACUAAGAUGUGAAAAGAAAUAUCCCUGUGCUCUCUGAGUUUGUGGCAGCCCAGGUUGAAUAUGGGAAUACAUCU
ensembl:snoRNA